UGUCCAGACUCCUACGGGAGGCAGCAGUGAGGAAUAUUGGUCAAUGGCCGGAAGGCUGAACCAGCCAAGCCGCGUGAAGGACGAAGGUGCCAAGCAUUGUAAACUUCUUUUGUCAAGGGACAAAAUCAGGCUCGAGAGCCUGACCGAGGGUACUUGAAGAAAAAGCAUCGGCUAACUCCGUGCCAGCAGCCGCGGUAAUACGGAGGAUGCGAGCGUUAUCCGGAUUUAUUGGGUUUAAAGGGUGCGUAGGCGAACUGUUAAGUCAGCGGUAAAAGCCCGGGGCUCAACCCCGUACUGCCGUUGAAACUGCAUCCCUUGAGUGCGCGAGAAGUAUGCGGAAUGCGUGGUGUAGCGGUGAAAUGCAUAGAUAUCACGCAGAACUCCGAUUGCGAAGGCAGCAUACCGGCGCCCAACUGACGCUGAAGCACGAAAGCGUGGGUAUCGAACAGGAUUAGAUACCCGAGUAC
rnacentral:rRNA from 1 species